AUUGAACGCUAGCGGGAUGCCUUACACAUGCAAGUCGAACGGAAUGGCGAACGGGUGAGUAAUGUAUAGGAACGUGCCCAGUAGCGGGGGAUAACUACGCGCAAGCGUAGCUAAUACCGCAUACUAUUGGAGCGGCCGAAAUCGGAUUAGCUAGUUGGUGGGGUAACGGCUCACCAAGGCGACGAUCCGUAGCUGGUUUGAGAGGAAGACCAGCCACACGGGAACGGAGAAACGGCCCAGACUCCUACGGGAGGAAGCAGUGGGGAAUUUUGGACAAUGGGGGAAACCCUGAUGCAGCAAUCCCGCGUGUGGGAUGAAGGCCUUCGGGUGGUAAAGCACUUUAGGCAGGAAAGCGGUACCUGCAGAAUAAGCACCGGCUAACUACGUGCCAGCAGCCGCGGUAAUUC
rnacentral:rRNA from 1 species